AUCAUUUGGACCGCAAACAAUUACGAAUUAGUUUCUCUAAUUUGUUUUGAAAGAAUAGUCAGCUUGCACUAUCUUAAAGAGGACUGUUCCUAUAUUAUAACAGAACGAUCAACAACCAUCAGGAACACUCACAGCCGAAUAUUUGAAAUUAAUGGAUGAAUAAAUACUAGAACAGUUGAAGAGCUCUAGGACCAAAAUGAAGCUAAAAAAGAGGGACAAAAGAUACCAGAUGGACAGUCAAACUCAUAAAUCGAAAAUAAACUGACAAUGCCAUGGCUAAAAAUGAAAUAAAGACAAACAUACAAACAGUAGUACACAUGACACAACAUAGAAAACUAAAAAAUAAGCAACACAUAAAGUAAAUUAUUGUUUAUUAGAUUUAAGUAGAACUUACUCUUAAAAUUGAAAAAAAAUGCACAAGUC
rnacentral:lncRNA from 1 species